AGCGAACGCUGGCGGCAGGCCUAACACAUGCAAGUCGAACGAAGUCUUCGGACUUAGUGGCGGACGGGUGAGUAACACGUGGGAACGUGCCUUUAGGUUCGGAAUAACUCAGGGAAACUUGUGCUAAUACCGAAUGUGCCCUUCGGGGGAAAGAUUUAUCGCCUUUAGAGCGGCCCGCGUCUGAUUAGCUAGUUGGUGAGGUAAAGGCUCACCAAGGCGACGAUCAGGAGCUGGUCUGAGAGGAUGAUCAGCCACAUUGGGACUGAGACACGGCCCAAACUCCUACGGGAGGCAGCAGUGGGGAAUCUUGCGCAAUGGGCGAAAGCCUGACGCAGCCAUGCCGCGUGAAUGAUGAAGGUCUUAGGAUUGUAAAAUCCUUUCACCGGGGACGAUAAUGACGGUACCCGGAGAAGAAGCCCCGGCUAACUUCGUGCCAGCCGCCGCAGUAA
rnacentral:rRNA from 1 species